rnacentral:rRNA from 1 species
GAUGAACGCUAGCGGCGGGCUUAAUACAUGCAAGUCAAGGGGUAGCAAUACACCGGCGUACGGGUGCGUAACGCGUAUGGAACCUGCCCUUAUCUGGGGGAUAACUCGGGGAAACUCGAGCUAAUACCGCAUAAGAUAGUAGAAUGGCAUCAUUCAGCUAUUAAAGAUUUAUCGGAUAAGGAUGGCCAUGCGUAAGAUUAGAUAGUUGGUGGGGUAACGGCUCACCAAGUCUACGAUCUUUAGGGGCUCUGAGAGGAGAAUCCCCCACACUGGCACUGCGAUACGGGCCAGACGCCUACGGGAGGCAGCAGUAGGGAAUAUUGGGCAAUGGGCGGAAGCCUGACCCAGCCACGCCGCGUGCAGGAAGAAGGCCCUCUGGGUUGUAAACUGCUUUUGAUUGGGAAGAAAGCAUCUCAUGCGUGGGAUUUUGACGGUACCAAUCGAAUAAGCCACGGCUAACUACGUGCCAGCAGCCGCCGUAACAC